GAGGAGCUCACUGCGGUGCCGAAGACGAGCUCGAGGAGGCCAGGGAAGGUCGGGGUCGAGCGAAUCGUCGACGGCGGCCGGUGAUGCAGACGGUCGAAGACGAGUUCGAUGGUGGCGACGUGGGGCUCUCCUGCUCGAUUUGCUCUACGAGGACGACGUAGAGGACGACGAUGGAGCGGUCGGACACUGUCUCACGGCCCGGGGACGACGGUGGCUAUGUGGGCGAGUUCGGCCAUGGCGACGAGGCUCGACUGCGCGAUGCGGAUGCGAGAGCGAGCGAAGGAGAGGGGAAAGUGGGCGCUAGGGUUUGACCGCGAUGUAGAGGAGGCUGGGCGCGACCUUAUCCGAAUGGGGGAAGCGUUGGAUGCCUGCCACGGCGGCAUCCGGCGGGCAGGGUGGCUGGGAUGGCUGCCACACCCUCCUCUGCCUCCUGUAGCAGGAGGAAGGGGAUGAGUGGGGUGUGGGCUGACCGGUUGUGGCCUGGUGGGCUGGCCAGCUGGGCCGUUUGGCCCAGUUGGCCAAAGGGGUUUUUCUCGUUUUAUCUCUAGUUUCUCUUUUAUUUAUUUUUUAUCUAAUAUUAAAAUGAUCCCUAAUUUAUUAAUACAUUAAAACCCACUAGAUCAAAAGGUUAUACCCCAAAACAAUUUAGUUUAGUAUUUUGUUAAUUAUAAAAGCAAAAGAAAUAGUUUUUGCUACUGUUUUAUUCACCUAAUGCUAUUUAAACAUUUUUAUAAAAAUGUGGUUUCUCCACCAUAAUUACCUAUGCAUUGGUUGGAUCACUCAGAACAUUUUAGUUUUAAUAUUUGAAAACUUUUAUUGUUUCAUUGAUUUUGAAUUUGAAUUCGAAUCGGUUUCGAAUUGACGCGAUGUUAGCAACAGUAAUCUAGGUGACAUGGCAUCAUUAGUGGAGGGUCACUGUAGCUUAUUUAUCCGGGCGUGACAAUUCUCCUCCACUACAAGAAAUCUCGUCCCGAGAUUUAAGAGGGGAAGUGCGGGGAAGGGAUUAGGUUGCGAAAUUCUAACGGGUCUUGUUGGUCUUGGCUACUCUUCUCGAGGAGGUCGGUCCAUUACAUUGUUGUCUCCACUUCUCUGCUUCAGGUCAUCAUGGUGAUGUCGUUCUUUUCUCGGGAACUCCAACGUACUUACGAAUAGGUAAGGGGCAGCUCGGCUACGACAGAAUGCUUAUGAGGGAAACAAUCUGGGGGUUAACCCAUGAAUGAGCAUAAGAUUAUCUCUCGAGUUGAACAUAUCGAAUACAUCAAGAGUAAGGUACGAAGGUACAAUAAGAGGUUCCAAGUGGAUAGAUAGUUGCUCGAAGUCUGAACCAGAGUGAGAAAGGGUUUUAGAGCAGCGAGAGUAAGUAUUGCGUCUGUUACCAAAAUAGAGCAUUAGGAAGGUGGCCCGUGAAUUAAAUACGAAGCCAAGCGCGAGGAAUAACUUCGACAACAUGGGGUAUAGGAGAGUCAGGUUUCGAUCCUGUGGAACUGUGGGUUAUGGGCCCACCAUGUGGGUUAGAAGUAGGAAGGGCGGAGACGUCUUGCGUGAUCAUGCAAGCAAGGCAUGUCAGGGGGGUAGCCUGUCGAUUAUGUCGGCGACAACGUCGAUACCAAGAGCGAGGGACGAAGAGAACUAUUUUCCUGCUCGUUGAACGAGGCGGGCCAAGAGGCAAAGUUCUCAUCCAUCGGCAGUUACCGAAAUGUCAUCAACAAUAGAAACAGGGUCUCACUGUCGGAGUUGUACACCGAGGUGUUUACCUACGCAGUGAAUUAUUACUGCUUAGAUUAUAUAGAUCACAAGAAAGGUUAAACCAAACAACGGAAAGGAAAUAUGGUUAUCAAAUUACACAAAACAAAGACAAGGAAAAUGUGUUUAAUCACAUAUUUCAGGGGUAUAUCCUUCCAAAGGACAAGCAGAGCAUGAUAUCCAAGACAGGAUAUAAUGUAGAAAACUCUUUAGGUAAGGGGGGGAGGAAUCUCAUGAUAUUACCCAUACAACGGUGUUAGGAUAAAUGAUAAAUAAAAUUUAGCAUCGUGCUUCAAAUGUUCCUGUUGAAAAUCGGAGUACCAUUGACAUGCUUCGAGAUAGCAUUGACAUGGUCUUCAGGUGAAGAUCAGACUUUGGAAACACGAAGGAUCCAUCAGGAAUAACUUGUAGAAUAAGUCUUACAAUUUCCUCCAGGAAGAAUGGUUGUCCUUGCAAAAGAAAUUAUAACGAUAGGUCCUCCAGCCAGGGGGGGGGGUGCUAGGCAUGACAUCAUGUUACCGGGCCAUCCAAGGACAAACAACAUAACUCCUGGAAAGUUGUCCCAACCAUCAUAUCUGACCGAGAUUCAGAUCCAAUUGGUGUCAUGAUGCCUCAGACUCAGGACGUCCGAGAAGAAAAGGCGCAACACAAAUCAUUGAAAUGGCAUUGCAAGAUUCUCGAGAAAUGAACUAUGGGAGCGGGUUCCUGAAACAAUAGUUCAUCAUUAAACCAAGGAGAGGUGAGGAGGUGGCUGAUUGACUCAGCGACAAUUCAUUGAGAUUUUCAAAAGAUGGAUUUCCACAAUAAUGUGAACAAGAAGAUGACAUUUGUCAGAUCAAAUGGUAUAGUGAUGUAUGCUCGAGGAAAACAUACACAAUUAAACAUUGGUUGAAAGGUGCACCCGAAAUAUGGGUUGGGUUGCACGACCAAUGUCAGAAUGGUGAUUCAAUAGUCAAUAGCCUAAGAAUGAACUUUCGACCAUUAACUUCAAAAAAAUAGGGUUGCUAGAAGGAAAGAAUCCAAACAACACCGUUCACUUGUUGGAAUUAACACGGGGACCAAGAAAGAAUGGUGAUGGUGAGAAGUAUUUCUAUGUCAAGAAUUCUCAAGAGGUGGAACAAAUCUCAGAACAUUCUUGACAUAAAGGAUGGUAAUACUCCAAGGUAAAGAAGAACAAUUGCUGGAUAGCAAAGAACUCAAGGUAUAACACAAAACAUGAACAAGCUUGUGUUGGUGGGAGGGCAAUAAAGUGGUCGACGAUAAUACAAUUCAUCGAGGUCAAGGAUGGUAUUUCUCAUCAUGAAUUCAAUUGAUAUCCUGGAUGAGCUCAGAAUGUUGAUGAUCACGACACCUUUGUCGCGAGAGUUCAUGAAGAUGUAAUCGAUCGGUAACGACAUCAAGUCAAGUAAUGAUGAAGUGAAAGGUUAUUGGAACCAAGGGUACGACACAAACUCGAAACCAAGCUUGUUGUUCAAGGCGAAAUGAUAUGACGAUGAGGAUCGACGUAAGGUUAGUUCAUCGUCGAAAAUUGGUGCUCCGAGAAUAAGGACCAGAUAGCACAGUUAGAAUCGUCACGACAAUGAUAUAGCCAAACAGGCUAGGAAUGGCGUGAUCGGGUACAAACUCGUACUUAUAGAAGCUUACUGAAGAGUUGUUGAACCGUAGUGCGGACUCGGUUCCGUUAUCGGUGUCUUUGAGUGUUUAUUAACUCAGAGCCCGUGAAAAAUUGGAAUCAGUGGGAAUGUAGCACUUGAUGAAGAACUCAUAAGGAGUUAUGCAGUUCCAUGAUAAUCUCGAGAUACCAGGGGGGUAAUACUCGACACAAGAUCAAAGUAAAGGCUGGACUGGUGUAUUGAUCCAUAGGAGACAAUUGUUUUAACUUGUCCGAGAAAUGAGAUCAAAGAAGAACAAUCAUGGUCGGAACCACGGUUGCAAGGGAUCAAUUCACAGAUUCCAUAUGUUAGUUAUCAAGGAAAUAGUUAUUGUUACAAGAAGCUUCCAUGAUAGGAUAUAUAUCGCGUCCAUGGGCAUGAACACAAGGUUCAAGGUCGACUCCCACUUCUCCAAUGCAUACCCUUUCAUUCACUUCUCGCUUUCGAUGAAGUUAUAGCGUUGAAAUUUUAUCUGGCAAAAUACCAGAAGAGUACGACUCGUGAAAACUUUCGAGUUCACACAUAUUAAGGAAGGCAUAGGUUCAACCCAUCAGGGCAUCUUAGAAUCAUAUACCAGAAUCUUUAGAAGUAAUUAACUCAAGCUCGAAGGCAGAGCAUGGUUGAGAAAGCAGACGAUACAAUUUACCAAAGGCAUUAUGUAUCCGAGAAAAGGCUCACAAGUUUAUUGACUAUGAAGGGCGUUGUCAGAUAAAAUCCAACAAAGGAUCUGGUGGUCCACAAGGGAUCUGACGUGAGCAUUGAUACUCAACUAGAGGAAGCAGAUUAUAGAAACAACUGACUAACUCAAUUGUCAAAUGCAAAGGAAUUAUGAUUUCCAAAUCAAGGGAUCAGAAGCAAUGCUCUGAUUAGGGGUGGAUAAGUUGAAUAGCCGUAGGGUACAAUCAAAGACAAUUGGAUUGGUCGAGAACCAAUUCCAGUAAAAAGAAUGGCAGCUCGGCCGGAAAAGUAAUUUAUAAGGAUUAAUGAUGAUUGCGUGUAUUUGCAAACAUAUUGAGUCAACAGACUCAAAAUGGUAAUGACAAGGAAUGUCAAUAUGACUACGAGACUUAUGGGAUUAUCCAUAAUGCAAGCAAGCAAGAAUUUCAAGAGCCAAAGGCCCCAAAGGAUUUUCGGAAGAUCGAAUAUUAUUUCUAAGACUUUUGUGAAACACAUGAACAACUGGGGAUGAGCGGAUACUCGACAAGUGCGAGGAUUUAUUCGAAGGGGUAUUCAUGUGGCAAAGAACUGCUAGGCAGUAGGCACAAAGUAUUCUCGGAACAAUAGAGAAAACUUCGGGGUAUCUUGUAAUAACAAGAUCAAUGGGGGAUGAUCGUAAGAAUGGCAAGUGUAAGUAGUUAUCCAUACGGAUUUAUCGGUGGUCAGGAAUAGCCAAAGUGAUGGGCACAAGUCUCGAGAGAACAUCAGAGAGUAUCUUCGGAACCUUCUGAUGUAGCAGGCGAUCCACUGCAAUAAGGGGCUCUUCGGGUGGAUGCGAUCACGAGAUCCUAAUCUUAGAGUUAGCAAAUUCAUUUAACCCGAAUAGUAGAGAGAUCAGAGUCCCAGAGUAUAGAUGAGGAAUAAAAGAUCCUAAUACCACCCGAUGGCGACGUGGGCUCGUAAGGCACACAGCCAAGUUAGUAAAAGUUUUUGCAAUGUCUAGACUCGACUUCGGCCAAGGAGUGUGGAAGGGGGAUUCCUACAGGCAGUCGGCUCUGAUACCAACUUGUGACGCCCCCGAUUCAAUCGUACACUAAUCAUGCACGCAAAUGUGUACGAUCAAGAUCAGGAACUCACGAGAAGAUAUCACAACACAACUCUAAAACAUAAUUAAGUCAUACAAGCAUCAUAAUACAAGCCAGGGGCCUCGAGGGCUCGAAUACAAGUGCUCGAUCAUAGACAGGUCAGCGGAAGCAAUAAUAUCUGAGUACAAACAUAAGUUAAACAAGUUGCCAUAAGAUGGCUAGCACAAACUGGGAUACAUAUCGAAAGAGGCGCAGGCCUCCUGCCUGGGAUCCUCCUAAACUACUCCUGGUCGUCGUCAGCGGCCUGCACGUAGUAGUAGGCACCUCCAGUGUAGUAGGAAUCAUCGUCGACGGUGGCGUCUGGCUCCAGGGCUCCAGCAUCUGGUUGCGACAACCAGGUAAAAGGGAAAGAGGGAAAAGAGGGAGAAAAGCAACCGUGAGUACUCAUCCAAAGUACUCGCAAGCAAGGAGCUACACUACAUAUGCAUGGGUAUAUGUGUAAAGGGCCAUAUCGGUGGACUGAACUACAGAAUGCCAGAAUAAAAGGGGGAUAGCUAAUCCUGUCGAAGACUACGCUUCUGGCAGCCUCCGUCUUGCAGCAUGUAGAAGAGAAUAGAUUGAAGUCCUCCAAGUAGCAUCUCCAAGUAGCAACUCCAAGUAGCAUCUCCAGUAGCAUCGCAUAGCAUAAUCCUACCCAGCGAUCCUCUCCUCGUCGCCCUGUAGAAAAGCGAUCACCGGGUUGUCUGUGGAACUUGGAAGGGUGUGUUUUAUUAAGUAUCCGGUUCUAGUUGUCAUAAGGUCAAGGUACAACUCCAAGUCGUCCUGUUACCGAAGAUCACGGCUAUUCGAAUAGAUUAACUUCCCUGCAGGGGUGCACCACAUAGCCCAACACGCUCGAUCCCAUUUGGCCGGACACACUUUCCUGGGUCAUGCCCGGCCGCGGAAGAUCAACACGUCGCAGCCCCACCUAGGCUCAACGGAGAGGCCAGCACGCCGGUCUAAACCUAAGCGCGCAGGGGUCUGGGCCCAUCGCCCUGAGCACACCUGCACGUUGCGUACGCGGCCGGUGAGCAGACCUAGCAACCUCCAUUACAAAGGAAGUUGCGUUAACGCAGUCCAACCCGGCGCGCGCCGCUCAGUCGCUGACGUCACGAAGUGCUUCGGCUGAUACCACGAUGUCGGGAUACCCAUAACUACUCCCACGUAGAUGGUUAGUGCGUAUAGGCUCGUAGCCAGACUCAGAUCAAAUACCAAGAUCUCGUUAAGCGUGUUAAGUAUCCGCGAACGCCGAACAGGACCAGGCCCACCUGUCUCCUAGGUGGUCUCAACCUGCCCUGCCGCUCCGCCACAAAGUAACAGUCGGGGGCCGUCGGGAACCCAGGCGCACCUCUACCGGGAUGGAGCCACCUGCCCCUUCAGCCCCCAUCUCCGAACAGUAUCACAGGUAAUGUAACUGUGUAAAGUAUAUCGUAUAUGCCCGUGAUCACCUCCCGAAGUGAUCACGGCCCAGUAGUAUAGCAUGGCAGACGGACAAGAGUGUAGGGCCACUGAUGGAACACUAGCAUCCUAUACUAAGCAGUAGGAUAGCAGGUAAUGGUAACAACAGUAGUAGCAAGGACAGGCUAUGCAUCAGGAUAGGAAUAACGGAAAGCAGUAACAUGCUACACUACUCUAAUGCAAGCAGUAUAGAGAAAAGAGUAGGCGAUAUCUGGUGAUCAACGGGGGGGCUUGCCUGGUUGCUCUGGCAAGAGAGAGGGGUCAUCAACUCCGUAGUCGAACUGGGCAGCAGCAGCGUCGGUCUCGUAGUCUACCGGAGAGAAGAGGGGGGAAGAAAUAAUGAAUACAGAGCAAACAAAGCAUCACAAAAUAUAACAAGGCAAUACGCUGUGUUCGGUGUGCCCUAACGCGGUAGUAGGUGAUACCGACGAAGGGGGAAGACAUCCGGGAAAGUAUUCCCGGUGUUCCGUGUUUUCGGGCAGAGGAGCCGGAGGGGGAAAGUUGCGGGUUCGAUAGGUUAGGGGUGUGCGGCGGACGAACGGACUGCGUAUCCGGAUUCGUCACGUCGUUCUGAGCAACUUUCAUGUAAAAAGUAUUUUCAUCCGAGUUACGGAUUAUUUUAUAAUAAUUUUUAAAGUUUUAAUUCAUUUUUUAAAUUCCUGGAUUUAUUAUUAAUUCGAAAAUAAAAUAGAAAUUCUAAGUGUAGCCAGGGGUUGCCUAGCCUAGUCUAUGACAGUAGGGUUAGGGGGGUUUGGUUGACUGUUGACCAGGUCAAUGAUUGACCAGUCAACAGGGUUAGUGGACCCACAUGUAAGUGUAAUAUGUGAUAAAAUUAUUUUAGUUAAUCAAUUUACCUAGUGGGGCCACAUGUAUUAGGCCCAAAGUGGGGUGCGUUAGUCCAAGAGAGAAUUAGUACUAAACGGAGAUUAGUACUAGAGGGAUUAGUACUAAUCUAAUGGGGUCGGCCUCCUGGACGGAGGCAGUAGCUGCAGUCGCAGCAUGCACGGGCACACAAGGGUGCUGGCAGCUGAAACCAGCGACGCCAUCAGCUGGGACUCAGGCACGCAUGCAUCCGCGGUUGGGCGCAGCCAUUACGCGGCCCCGGGCAGCAGCAGUUAGAGCACGCUACAGCAGCAAAAGGAAUAGAACUAGCAGAAGCAUCGGGCAACAACAGGGAGGAGGCGCGCUGGCGCUUGCGAGUAACGGGAGCAGGGCACGACCCUAGGCGGCAGCAGGCAGGAGCGGGGUUUAGGGUCACGGUCGCGGCCACGGGGCGAUGGGGGUCGGCCACGCGGGCGGCGCGAGUGGCAACAGCAAGUACGCAGGAGCAGCAGCAACUCCGAGCACGCACGCUCGUAUGCACGCGUAUGCGCGAGAUCGGAUGAGCUCGGGGACAGAGGCUACAACAAUGAAUCGAGGGGGGCAAGCAGGGGGGUGGCGGAGGAGCUCACUGCGGUGCCGAAGAUGAGCUCGAGGAGGCCAGGGAAGGUCGGGGUCGAGCGAAUCGUCGACGGCGGCCGGUGAUGCAGACGGUCGAAGACGAGUUCGAUGGUGGCGACGUGGGGCUCUCCUGCUCGAUUUGCUCUACGAGGACGACGUAGAGGACGACGAUGGAGCGGUCGGACACUGUCUCACGGCCCGGGGACGACGGUGGCUAUGUGGGCGAGUUCGGCCAUGGCGACGAGGCUCGACUGCGCGAUGCGGAUGCGAGAGCGAGCGAAGGAGAGGGGAAAGUGGGCGCUAGGGUUUGACCGCGAUGGAGAGGAGGCUGGGCGCGACCUUAUCCGAAUGGGGGAAGCGUUGGAUGUCUGCCACGGCGGCAUCCGGCGGGCAGGGUGGCUGGGAUGGCUGCCACACCCUCCUCUGCCUCCUGUAGCAGGAGGAAGGGGAUGAGUGGGGUGUGGGCUGACCGGUUGUGGCCUGGUGGGCUGGCCAGCUGGGCCGUUUGGCCCAGUUGGCCAAAGGGGUUUUUCUCGUUUUAUCUCUAGUUUCUCUUUUAUUUAUUUUUUAUCUAAUAUUAAAAUGAUCCCUAAUUUAGUAAUACAUUAAAACCCACUAGAUCAAAAGGUUAUACCCCAAAACAAUUUAGUUUAGUAUUUUGUUAAUUAUAAAAGCAAAAAAAAAUAGUUUUUGCUACUGUUUUAUUCACCUAAUGGUAUUUAAACAUUUUUAUAAAAAUGUGGUUUCUCCACCAUAAUUACCUAUGCAUUGGUUGGAUCACUCAGAACAUUUUAGUUUUAAUAUUUGAAAACUUUUAUUGUUUCAUUGAUUUUGAAUUUGAAUUCGAAUCGGUUUCGAAUUGACGCGAGGUUAGCAACAGUAAUCUAGGUGACAUGGCAUCAUUAGUGGAGGGUCACUGUAGCUUAUUUAUCGGGGCGUCACAGGAGUGACAAAUCCCAGUCUCGAUCCGUGUCAACCCAACAGACACUUUCGGAGAUACCUGUAGUGCACCUUUAUAGUCACCCAGUUACGUUGUGACGUUUGGUACACCCAAAGCACUCCUACGGUAUCCGGGAGUUAUACGAUCUCAUGGUCUAAGGAAGAGAUACUUGACAUUGAAAAAGCUCUAGCAAAACGAACUACACGAUCUUGUGCUAUGCUUAGGAUUGGGUCUUGUCCAUCACAUCAUUCUCCUAAUGAUGUGAUCUCGUUGUCAAUGACAUCUAAUGUCCAUAGUCAGAAACCAUGACUAUCUGUCGACCAACGAGCUAGUCAACUAGAGGCUCACUAGGGACAUGUUAUGGUCUAUGUAUUCACACGUGUAUUACGAUUUCCGGAUAAUACAGUUAUAGCAUGAAUAAAAGACAAUUAUCAUGAACAAGGAAAUAUAAUAAUAAUGCUUUUAUUAUUGCCUCUAGGGCAUAUUUCCAACACCAUCAACAUUGGGUGUAUGACCAUAGAAGGUUUUAUUCAUGUAAACAGAAUAACAAUUUAUUCUCUAUCUUGGAUGAAUAAUCGUAUCGUAGUAAACAUGAUCUAAUCAUAUUUAUGCUCAACGCAAACACCAAAUAACAUUUAUUUAGGUUCAACACUAAUCUCGAAAAUAUAGGGAGUGUACGAUGAUGAUCAUAUCAAUCUUGGAACCACUUCCAACACACAUCGUUACUUCACCAUCAACUAGUCUCUGUUUAUUCUGUAACUCCUGUUUCGAGUUACUAAUCUUAGCAACCGAACAAGUAUCAAAAUACUCAGGGCUACUAUAAACACUAGUAAGGUACACAUCGAUAACAUGUAUAUCAAAUAUACCCUUGUUCACUUUGCCAUCCUUCUUAUCCACCAAAUAUUCAGGGCAUUUCUGCUUCCAGUGACCAUUUCCUUUGCAGUAAAAGCACUUAGUUUCAGGCUUUGGGCUUCUUCACAGGAGUGAAAACUUGCUUGUCAAUCUACUUGAAGUUCCCUUUCUUUCCCUUUGCCCUUUUCUUGAAACUAGUGAUCUUGUCAACCAUCAACACUUGAUGCUCUUUCUUAAUUUCUACCUUCGUCGAUUUCAACAUCACGAAGAGCUCGGGAAUCGUUUUCGUCAUCCCUUGCAUUAUAGUUCAUCAUGAAGUUCUACUAACUUGGUGAUGGUGACUAGAGAAUUCUGUCAAUCACUAUCUUAUCUGGAAGAUUAACUCCCACUUGAUUCAAGCGAUUGUAGUACCCAGACAAUCUGAGCACAUGCUCACUAGUUGAGCGAUUCUCCUCCAUCUUUUAGCUAUAGAACUUGUUGGAGACUUCAUAUCUCUCAACUUGGGUAUUUGCUUGAAAUAUUAACUUCAACUCCUGGAACAUCUCAUAUGGUCCAUUACGUUCAAAACGUCUUUGAAGUCCCGAUUCUAAGCUGUUUAAGCAUGGUGCACUAAACUAUCAAGUAGUCAUCAUUUUGAGAUAGCCAAACGUUCAUAAUGUCUGCAUUUGCUCCUGCAAUAGGUUUGUCACCUAGCGGUGCAUUAAGGACAUAAUUCUUCUGUGCAGCAAUGAGGACAAACCUCAGAUCACGGAUCCAAUCCGCAUCAUUGCUACUAACAUCUUUCAACACAAUUUUUCUCUAGGAACACAUAUAAAAACAUAGGAAAGAAAACACAUAGGGAAGCAACAACGCGAGCUAUUGAUCUACAACAUAAUUUGCAAAAUACUACUAGGACUAAGUUCAUGAUAAAUUAAAGUUCAAUUAAUCAUAUUACUUAAGAACUCCCACUUAGACAGACAUCUAUCUAGUCAUCAAAGUGAUCACGUGAUCCAAAUCAACUAAACCAUGUCCGAUCAUCACAUGAGAUGGAGUAGUUUUCAAUGGUGAACAUCACUAUGUUGAUCAUAUCUACUAUAUGAUUCACGUUCGACCUUUCGGUCUCUGUGUUCUGAGGCCAUAUCUGUAUAUGCUAGGCUCGUCAAGUUUAACCUGAGUAUUCCGUGUGUGCACCUGUUUUGCACCCGUUGUAUUUGAACGUAGAGCCUAUCACACCCGAUCAUCACGUGGUGUCUCAGCACGAAGAACUUUCGCAACGGUGCAUACUCAGGGAGAACACUUCUUGAUAAUUUAGUGAGAGAUCAUCUUAAAAUGCUACCGUCAAUCAAAGCAAUAUAAGAUGCAUAAAGGAUAAACAUCACAUGCAAUCAAUAUAAGUGAUAUGAUAUGGCCAUCAUCAUCUUGUGCUUGUGAUCUCCAUCUCCGAAGCACCAUCGUGAUCACCAUCGUCACCGGGGCGACACCUUGAUCUCCAUCGUAGCAUCGUUAUCAUUACACCAUCUAUUGCUUCUACGACUAUCGCUACCGCUUAGUGAUAAAGUAAAGCAAUUACAGGGUGUUUGCAUUUCAUACAAUAAAGCAACAACCAUAUGGCUCCUGCCAAUUGCCGAUAACUUCGGUUACAAAACAUGAUCAUCUCAUACAAUAAAAUAUAGCAUCACGUCUUGACCAUAUCACAUCACAACAUGCCCUGCAAAAAGAAGUUAGACGUCCUCUACUUUGUUGUUGCAAAUUUUACCCGGCUGCUACGGGCUGAGCAAGAACCGUUCUUACCUACGCAUCAAAACCACAACGAUAGUUCGUCAAGUUAGUGUUGUUUUAACCUUCGCAAGGACCGGGCGUAGCCACACUCGGUUCAUCUAAAGUUUGAGAAACAGACACCCGCCGGCCACCUGUGUGCAAAGCACGUCGGUAGAACCAGUCUCGCGCAAGCGUACGCGUAAUAUCGGUUCGUGCCGCUUCAUCCAACAAUACCGCCGAACCAAAGUAUGACAUGUCGGUAAGCAGUAUGACUUGUAUCGCCUACAACUCACUUGUGUUCUACUCGUGCAUAUAACAUCUACGCAUAAAACCAGGCUCGGAUGCCACUGUUGGGGAACGUAGUAAUUUCAAAAAAAUUCCUACGCACAGGCAAGAUCAUGGUGAUGCAUAACAACGAGAGGGGAGAGUGUGUCCACAUACCCACGUAGACCGAAAGCGGAAGAGUUAGAACAACGCGGUUGAUGUAGUCGUACGUCUUCACGGCCCGACCGAUCAAGCACCGAAACUACGGCACCUCCGAGUUCUAGCACACGUUCAGCUCGAUGACGUCCCUCGAACUCCGAUCCAGCCGAGUGUCGAGGGAGAGUUUCGUCAGCACGAUGGUGUGGUGAUGAUCUUAAUGUUAUAUCGUCGCAGGGCUUCGCCUAAGCACCGCUACGAUAUUAUCGAAGUGGACUAUGGUGGAGGGGGGCACCGCACACGGCUAAGAGAUCCAAGGGGUCAAUUGUUGUUGUUCCUAGAGGUGCCCCCCUGCCCUCGUAUAUAAAGGAACCAGGGGGAGGGGGUCGGCCGGCCAGGAGGGGCGCGCCAGGAGGAGUCCUCCUCCCACCGGGAGUAGGACUCCCCCCCCCUUCCUUGUUGUAGGAGAGAAGGAAAGAGGGGGAGAGGAGGAAGGAAAAGCGAGCUGCACCCCUUGUCCAAUUCGGACCAGAGGGGGGCUGCACGCCUCCUUCCUUUCGGCCUCUCUCAUCUAUUCCCGUAUGGCCCAAUAAGGCCCAUAUACUCCCCGACGAAUUCCCGUAACUCUCCGGUACUCCGAAAAAUACCCGAAUCACUCGGAACCUUUCCGAAGUCCGAAUAUAGUCGUCCAAUAUAUCGAUCUUUAUGUCUCGACCAUUUCGAGACUCCUCGUCAUGUCCCCGAUCUCAUCCGGGACUCCGAACUCCUUCGGUACAUCAAAACUCAUAAACUCAUAAUAUAACUGUCAUCGAAACCUUAAGCGUGCGGACCCUAUGGGUUCAAGAACAAUAUAGACAUGACCGAGACACGUAUCCGGUCAAUAACCAAUAGCGAAACCUGGAUGCUCAUAUUGGCUCCCACAUAUUCUACGAAGAUCAUUAUCGGUCAAACCGCAUAACAACAUACAUUGUUCCCUUUGUCAUCGGUAUGUUACUUGCCAGAGAUUCGAUCGUCGGUAUCUCAAUACCUAGUUCAAUCUCGUUACCGGCAAGUCUCUUUACUCGUUACGUAAUGCAUCAUUCCGUAACUAACUCAUUAGCUACAUUGCUUGCAAGGCUUAUAUUGAUGUGCAUUACCGAGAGGGCCCAGAGAUACCUCUCCGACAAUUGGAGUGACAAAUCCUAAUCUCGAAAUACGCCAACCUAACAUGUACCUUCGGAGACACCUGUAGAGCUCCUUUAUAAUCACCCAGUUACGUUGUGACGUUUGGUAGCACACAAAGUGUUCCUCCGGUAAACGGGAGUUGCAUAAUCUCAUAGUUAUAGGAACAUGUAUAAGUCAUGAAGAAAGCAAUAGCAACAUACUAAACGAUCAAGUGCUAAGCUAACGUAAUGGGUCAAGUCAAUCACAUCAUUCUUCUAAUGAUGUGAUCCCGUUAAUCAAAUGACAACUCAUGUCUAUGGUUAGGAAACUUAACCAUCUUUGAUUAAUGAGCUAGUCAAGUAGAGGCAUACUAGUGACACUAUGUUUGUCUAUGUAUUCACACAUGUAUUAUGUUUCCGAUUAAUACAAUUCUAGCAUGAAUAAUAAAUAUUUAUCAUGAAUAAUAACUUUAUUAUUGCCUCUAGGGCAUAUUUCCUUCAGACAUCUCCCUGGGAAAGUGCAUCUGGAUUACAUACUUGAGGUGCUCUCCGGUGGGUGCGACGAGCAACACACCAGCACCGUCACCUUGCAGUGAGAAAGCCCCGUCAAAGUACAUAAUCCAGUUGCGACUUGUUUCCUUGCCGGGAAGAGUGGUCUCCGGGAUCUCUUCGUCAAGCGUUGAGGUCUACUCUACAAUGAACUCUGCCAAGACUCUGUUCUGGAUCGUCGAAGUUCUUUCAAACUUCAAACCAAAGCUCGACAGCUCCGGGUUAUGCAGUAUCCGUUGCAACGGGAGGCGGGUGACGACGGUGAUCUCGUGCGCUUGGAAGUAAUGACGCAGCUUCCUCGAGGCCAUAAGGAGGCCGAAGAGCAAUUUUUGCACACAGGAGUACCUUGACCUAGCCCUUGCAAGAGGGAGCUGACAAAGUAAACAGGGUGCUACAUCAUCUUCUUCUUCUGCACCACUUCAUUUGGUUGUGCGGGCCCUGUCCCGUCAGUGUCAGACCCUGCCGGGGGCCUCACCUUGCCGGUAUCAGGCCCUGGGGGGAGCUCUGGCUUGCCAUCCACCAAUCCUGUUGUUGCCACUGCCCCUUCGUCAACCUCCCUCUGCACUACUAGCGCGGCGCUGACCACUUGAUUCGUUGCCGCUAGAUACAGCAGCAGCGGCUCUUGUGGUUUAGGCACAACCAGUAUCAGCGUGGAGGAGAGGUAUUUCUUCAAGUCUUGUAGCGUUGCUUCGGCCUCUAGGGUCCAUUCCAUUGGGCCCGCCUUUUUCAAGAUUUUGAAAACAGUAAGGGCAUGUUCAGUAGACUUGGAAAUGAAUCUGCUCAUGGCGGCAAUGUAGCCAGUGAGCCGAUGCACAUCCUUGAUCCGCCUAGGCGCCUCAAUCUGCUCAAUGGCAUUGAUCUUGUCUGGAUUUGCCUCGAUCCCACGCUGUGACACAAUGAACCUGAGAAGUUUGCAGGACGAAACACCAAAAACACACUUCUCUGGGUUCAGCUUGAGGUUGAUCUUGCGCAAAUUUGCAACCAUCUCUUCGAAAUCUUGUACAAGUGUUGCCUUGUCCUUAGUUUUGACACUAUGUCAUCCAGGUAAGCUUCCAUAUUUCUAUGUAGCUGGGGAUCAAAACCAUUUGGACUGCUCUUGCAAACAUUGAGCCAGCACUCUUCAACCCAAAAGGCAUCCGUAAAAAGCAAUACGUACCACACGGGGUGAUGAAUGAUGUCUUUUCUUCAUCUUCUCUCAUCAUGAAAAUCUGAUGGUAUCCUGAGUAGGCGUCAAGGAAUGAUAACAAGUCACACCCAGCUGUGGAGUCAACAAUCUGGUCAAUGUGCGGCAACGGGAAAGGGUCUUUUGGACAGGCCUUAUUGAUAUCUGUGUAAUCAAUACACAGCCUCCACUUCCCAUUUGCAUUUCCCACUACCACCGGAUUGGUCAACCACGUCGGAUGGAGUACUCCUCUCACCAAGCCCGCCGCUUCCAGUUUCCUGAUCUCUUCUGUGAUAAACUCCUUCCUUUCCAAAGCUUGCUUCCUGACCUUCUGCUUGACGGGUCGCGCAUGAGGAUAGACAGCAAGAUGGUGUUCAAUCACCUCCCUGGGAACGCCGGGGAUGUCGGAUGCUUGCCAUGCAAACACAUCGACAUUCGCCCACAGGAAAGUGAUGAGCGCGCCUUCCUAUUUGCUACCGAGGGUGGAGCUUAUGGUAAAAGCCCCUCCCGUGCCAUCCUCCUUAACGGACACCUUCUUGGUCUUUGGUGAUGCAGCUCUGGAUCUCUUGCUCUUGUCGGUGGAGCUCUCUGGCACGUCCUCGAUGGGAGCACAUCACUCCGAAGAGGUGCGCUUGCCGGAGUGGGUGCGAGAGGUCUUGCCGGUCUUCUUCCCUCCCGGGCCUUUAGCGGCAGGAGCAAGUGCCUUGGCGGCAGUCACCGCAACCGCUUCUCCGUAGAGUUGGUCAGUGCAGAUCAGCGUGUCCUUCUUGUUGGAGGGGACAGUGAUGAUGGUCAUUGGACCAGGCAUCUUCAGCGUGUUGUAGGCAUAAUGCGACACUGCCAUGAACUUGGCUAGUGCCGGGCGGCCGAGGAUCCCGUUGUAGGGCAAGGGGAUCUCGGCUAAAUCAAAGACAAUCCUCUCCGUCCUGUAGUUCAACUCGCCUCCAAACAUCACGGGCAGUGUGACCUUACCUUUUGGCUGACUCCUUCACGGGUAACUUGAAACGUGCCCGUUUCCUCGAGGUCUCCAUCAGGAAUUUGCAGCCUUUUGACCACAAUAGGCGAGAUCAAGUUCAGACCGGCCCCGCCGUCAACUAGCAUUUUCGUCACCUUGAGGUUGUGUAUCAUUGGUGAAACUAACAACGGUAGACACCCGACGGCAGUUGUACGAUUAGGGUGGUCCUCGGUGUCAAAAAUGAUAGGCGUGCUGGACCACUUCAGUGGCUUCUAAGCAUCGAAUGAUGGCUCCAUCGCUGCGAUCUCACGCGCCCACCGCUUGAGCUGGCGGUGAGAGGUGUGCAGCGAGGCGCCACCGUCGACGCACAUGGCCUCUGUGGCUUUCUAAAACUCAGGCUCGCCGGACUCGUCGUCCUCGUCAUGAUCAUUGUCUUCCUACUUCUUAUCGCGGGCCUCUCUUGCUAGUUAUCCUUUCCGCGGCAGCCUCCUUGGCCACCAUGCUUCUUGCCGGAUCCUUUGGCACCAUCUUGACCCUUCUCUUUCUCCCGCCACUCAUACUCAGCUUUUUGCUUCUCAGCAAGAAGCUCAACUUGUCGAUAGUUCUAGAGGUCGUGGCCCUUGGUGCAGUGGAUCUUGCAGUACUGCUUGUCAGAGCUUCCUGGCUUGUCGGCAGCCGCCAGAGCCCGGCAAGCAGUACACCCGACAAUUUCCUUGCCGGGGUCGCUUUCCUUGGCCUUCUUGGCAGCACCGGUGUCGUCGGAUCCCUCGGCGGAAAGCAUGGCCUUGCCCUUGCGCUUUCUGUUGCGGCGUCAACCCUUCUUCUUUGGGGCGGCGGUGUCUUUGUCUGUGGAGUCGGUUUCUGCACCAGCAUCCUCGUCGGUGUACUUCCUCCCCUCUUCAGCUCGAGCGCACCUAUCAGCUAGAACAUAAAGUUUGGCCACAUCUUUGACCUUGUUCAUCGCCAGCUCUUCACUCAUCUUGCAGUUGCGCACAUUCUGAUGGAGUGCGCUGAUCAUGGCGGCGGGGUGAACAUCUGGGAUGUUGUACUGCACCCGGCUGAACCUCUGUAUGUACUUGCGCAUGUUUUCACCUUCCUUAUGGGGGAUGAUAUGCAAAUCGCUUGCCUGGCCAUGAGCUUGAUGGCCCCCAGUAAAGGUGCCAACGAACUCAUGACACAAAUCCGACCAAGAAGAAAUGGAAUCCGCCGGCAAGUGCAUCAACCAUGACAUGACAUUGGGCUUAAGUGCCAACGGGAAGUAAUUGGCAACACCUUGCAUCGUGAUGGUGUAGAUGCUGAGGAACUCUGAUGGGUGACUCAUGUCGUUGUACUUCUCGCCAAUGUCGGGUUUAAACGUGUGUUGGGAGGGCCACUGGAACUGCCGCAGCUCACGGGUAAAGGCUGGGCAGCCCACCUCGUAGGGUUGGCCACCAUAGCCUCCCAGUGCCGGGUGGUCCAUAGAGGGCCCUGCCCGCCUAUCUGACUGGUGGCGCGCAUCGCGCCAGCGUUCGAUGGUGGUUCGAGCAUCUUCAAGGGCUCGCUCCCGAAGAACUUGGCGCUGAUCGCGGUGGGUCCGUGGGUCGGACGACGCUAUGGAAAUAUUAUCACAAGCGUCAUCAUGACGGACCGACACCCGCGGUAACUGGCAUGGGGAAGGAGAGUGCAUCGUGGCUGCAUCACCUCCGGCCCUUCCACCACUAGCAUGCGGUGGCUCGACGGAGCAUCGGCCUAAGGGCCCCACUUGCCGCGGCUCAACUUUGUUCGCAAUGCCGACGAGGCUCCGGAUGGUGGCCCUCCACUCGUCAAGCUUUUCCGCAGCAGGCGGAAAAUCGAGGAGCAGCUACGCGCGCGCCAAAGCUUUUGCUGGCAUGGGCGGCGGUGAAAGUUGUGUGGACCAUGACGCGCUCUGACUUCUAACCACGUUAGAAGGAGCUCUAUCACAGCCUUGCGGCUGUACGCCAUUUUCGCCAGCACUUCGUCGUGCAUGCUGGCCUCCUUCGUCCCGCGAAGGAUGCGCAGGACUCUUCCCACGGCGGCGCCCGGGGUCACCAGCGUGGUGACGCUGCUCAUUGCGCACAACUUGGGAAGAGCACAUCGUGGGUGCCGGCAUAGGUGUCUUGGAGGUCGCCGCACCACUGGUAGGUGGCACGGUGCCGCCCUUGGAGGGCCCCGCGCAGCCCGCGGGGGCCCCAGCUCCGUCUUUGGAUUUGGCGGCACGCGGCCCGUCGUCUUGUGCAUGAACGACGUUGCUCGUGAGGCUUUGACUGCCAAAGCGAUGUGGGUGUUUGCGGGCCGUGCCUUGGCCUCCGUCCGCGACCGCCCCGCUACUUGCACGCACUGGGACGGGCCGUCCGGCUCUGGAUGAACCAAUCGCUGUCGUCUUCUUCUUCUUGGGAGCCAUGGCGAUGAAGAACUGCUAAACUAGCUACUAGACCGGAUUUUCACAACUGUGCCCCUGCCUGGAGCGCCAAAGAUGUCGGUGGAAAACGACACCUAUGGGAUCACUGGAAUCCCUACUACGGUCGGCGGGCGCGAGGUUGUGGAAAGAGCGGGUCUAGGAGCCAAUACAAAGAUCGUUUACCCAGGUUCGGGCCGCGAGGAUGCGUAAUACCCUAGUCCUGCUUUAGUGUGUAUUUGAGUGUUCUUGAGUUCUUGAACUAGCUACAGCGUGUGUGUAGUCCAAAAGAUCCGAAACCCUCCUUAGUAUGCCUCGGGCCUCCUUUUAUGGAAAAAGGGGACGCCAGAGUGGCACACAGGAGGUGGAAAGUGUAUACAGUGUACAAGCUUAUCGCCUGACAUCACAGGACAAAACGCAUUAAAUGCGCUACUUAGGUGUCCUCUUGCUUUAUCGGGGACGGCAACGAAGCCCGUCCCAUCCAUCGCCGUUUCGCCUUGCUUCGACACGCGUCCAAGCCAACGAGGCGUGCAGCACCAUGUAAGCUGGCAGGCUGCUGAGUUGGUGUGGUGGCAGGGUCUGCAUGAAGAUCUACAUGCCACCACGUAGGUACUUGCUGAGUUGGUCUAGAGGCUGCACAUCACCACGCAGGUGCUCGCCUAGCUGGCUGAGCUGGCAGCUGCAUGGGAACGACGGUGGAGUCUUGGCAGAUGUGGGCCUGGCCGUGGCCCCGCUGACGUCCUCGGCAAGGGUCUUGUCGGGGUCCUGGCAAGGAUCUUGCCGUGACAUCGUGGUCGUCCCCGGCAAGGAUCUUGCCGGAGGUCUCGUGGAUUCCCUCGGCAAGGAUCUUGCCGAGGAUCGUCGUCUUCUAGUCCUCAUCUGAUCUUGUGUGCUUAUGAUCUUCAUAAAGAUCUGCAUGCCACUAUGUAGGCCCCCUCCCAAGCUUUGGUUCCAAUGUUGUCGAUGGUGUCGGAACUCUCAAGCUCAAGGGUGGUGGCCUUGCUCGCGUUGGGUAAGUUGCCCCGGCAAGACUCUUGCCGGGGGAAGCCCAUCUUGUCGCUUUACCUUUUGUGCCCCUGGUUUGAGCACCGCUUCGGUAGUCUUGUACUUUUGCUUCCUUCCUCUGCCCUGCUAAGCAUGGCCACAGGUGCGGCUCUGACUGCCCGUGCACAAGUAAAGGGGUACAAAGAGGGGCCCUACUUUUGUACACAGACAUAUUGCAACACCCUAUAGCGGGGAUCCCUCACGCUUGCAUGACACGGAUAGCACCAUAGGACAACACCCAUAAUAAAACUUACAACUCAAACGAAUCACGAUCAUCAAUCAACACAAGGACAAAACGAAUAUACAAACAUCAUAGGAUAGCCACAUAUCAUUGGAUAAUAAUAUGUAGUGUUGAGCACCAUGUUUAAGUAGAGAUUACAACGGGGAGAAGAGGUGUUACACCGCUGCAUAAUGGGGGAGAGAGUUGGUGUUGACGGUAGCGAGGUUGUUGUUGUAGAUUGUCGUCACGAUCCUUGCCCCGGCGGCACUCUGGCACCAUCGGGAGAGAGGGGGAGAGAGCCCCCCUCCUUCUUCUUCUUCCUUGACCUCCCCCAUAGAUGGGAGCAUAGUUUCCCCUCUGGUCCUUGGCCUCCAUGGCGGCAGAUGGGCGGGAGCCCCUCCGAGAUUGGAUCUAUCUCUUUGUUUCGCUUCUGUUUCGCGUCCCUCUUUACUGGUCUUUCACCUCAUAAAUAUUCAGAGAUCCAUAACUCCGAUUGGGCUGAAAUUUUAACAUGAUUUUUAUUCGGAUAUAAGCUUCCUUGAGGCCGAAUGACACCUCCAACACACCUAUGGGGUGGCCACAAGCUUGCCAGGUGCACCCCUUGAGCUUGUGGGCCCCUUGGGGUAUCAUCUCGCGUUGAUUCCGCUUCCCAAAAAUCACAAAUAUUCCAAAAUAAUGCUUCAUAAAAUUUUAUCGCGUUUGGACUUCGUUCUAUAUGAAUAUUCUGCAAAACAAAAAACAUGCAACAAUCAGGAACUGACAUUGGGCACUAGAUCAAUAUGUUAGUCCCAAAAAUAAUAUAAAAUAUUGCCAAAAGUAUAUGAAAGUUGUAGAAUAUUAGCAUGGAACAAUAAAAAUUAUAGAUACGACGGAGCCGUAUCAACAUCCCCAAGCUUAAUUCCUACUCGUCCUUGAGUAGGUAAAUGAUAAAAAAGAUAUUUUUUGACAUGGAAUUCUACCUAGCAUAAUCCUUAUCAUGUAAUCUAAUCAUGGCAUGAAUAUUAAGACACGAGUGAUUCAAGGCGAUAGUCUAUCAAUUUGACAUCGAAUGAAUAAUACAAGACAUGCAUGUCAUUCAUCAUUGCCUUUCAUAAUAAUGGAGCUAAAGGAAAAGGCCUCUAUACACUUAAUUGUGGUAAGCAUGUCACAGUCAGUCUUCCCUGCAUAAAGUAUAAAUCAUGAGCACCUUGGUGUCAAACCAGGCAAUUGGAUUGUACUUCUAACGCGCUUCAGCAUUUUCAACUUCACUCAAUACAUGAGCGUGAGCCAUGGAUAUAGUACUAUGGGUGGAAUAGAAUGCGGUGGUAGGGAUCAAUAGGAGAAGGAAGAAAGUCUCACAUCAACAAGGCGGAUUAACGGCUAUGGCGAUGCCCAUCAAUCGAUAUCAAUGAGAGGACUAGGGAUUUCCAUGCAAAGGAUGAACUAGAGCUAUAAGUGUAUGAAAGCUCACAAAUGAAACUAAGAGGGUGUGCAUCCAACUUGCUUAAUCAUGAAGACCUCGGGCAUUUGAGGAAGUUCAUCACCAGAAUAUACAAGCCAAGUUCUAUCAUGAGAAAUUCCCACUAGUAUAUGAAAGUGAUAACUCAAGAGACUCUCUAUAUGAAGAACAUGGUGCUAUUCUGAAGCACAAGUGUGGUAAAAGGAUAGUAACAUUGCCCCUUCUCUCUAUUUCUCUCAUAUCUAUUUUAUUAUUAUUAUCUCUCUUUUUACUUUUUUUGUUGGGCUCUUUUUGGCCUCAUUUUUUCAUCUGGAGGGGAUGCGGACAAUGUGUGGAUGAAGAUGGCGACUUGCAUUCAUAAGGUGGCCUCGAAGGACUUUGGAGUGUCCAGGGGAAGGAGAAGCAAAGAUAAGGAUACCUGGUGGUGGAAUGAUGAUGUCCAGAAGGCGAUUAAAGAGAAGAAAGAUUGCUUCAGACGCCUAUACCUAGAUAGGAGUGCAGACAACAUAGAGAAGUACAAGAUGGCGAAGAAGGCCGCAAAGCGAGCUGUUGGUGAAGCAACGGGUCGGGCAUAUGAGGACCUCUACCAAUGGUUAGGCACGAAGGAAGGUGAAAGGAACAUCUGGGACAUUGGCCAAGUCAAAUGCAUCAAGGACGGAGCAGGCCAACUCUUGGUGAAGGACGAGGAGAUUAAGCAUAGAUGGCGGGAGUACUUCGACAAGCUGUUCAAUGGGGAGAAUGAGAGUUCUACCAUUGAACUAGACGACUCCUUUGAUGAGACCAGCAUGCAUUUUGUGUGGCACAUCUAGGAGUCUGAGGUGAAGGAGGCUUUAAAAAGGAUGAAAGGAGGCAAGGCGAUGGGCCCUGAUUGUAUCCCCAUUGAGGUGUGGAAAGUUCUCGGGGACAUAGCGAUAGUAUGGCUAACCAAGCUUUUCAAUCUCAUUUUUUGGGCAAACAAGAUGCCAGAAGAAUGGAGACGGAGUAUAUUAGUACCAAUCUUCAAGAGCAAGGGGGAUGUUUAGAGUUGUACUAAUUACCGUGGAAUUAAGCUGAUGAGCCAUACAAUGAAGCUAUGGGAGAGAGUCAUUGAGCACCGCUUAAGAAGAAUGACAAGCGUGACCAAAAAUCAGUUUGGUUUCAUGCCUGGGAGGUCGACCAUGGAAGCCAUUUUCUUGGUACGACAACUUAUGGAGAGAUAUAGGGAGCAAGAGAAGGACUUGCAUAUGGUGUUCAUUGACUUGGAGAAGGCCUAUAAGAUACCGCGGAAUGUCAUGUGGUGGGCCUUGGAGAAACGCAAAGUUCCAGCAAAGUACAUUACCCUCAUCAAGGACAUGUACGAUAAUGUUGUGACAAGUGUUCAAACAAGUGAUGUCGACACCGAUGACUUCCCGAUUAAGAUAGGACUGCAUCAGGGGUCAGCUUUGAGCCCUUAUCUUUUUGCAUUGGUGAUGGAUGAGGUCACAAGGGAUAUAAAAGGAGAUAUCCCAUGGUGUAUGCUCUUUGCGGAUGAUGUGGUGCUAGUUGACGAUAGUCGGACGGGGGUAAAUAGGAAGUUAGAGUUAUGGAGACAAACCUUGGAAUCAAAAGGGUUUAGGCUUAGUAGAACUAAAACCGAGUACAUGAUGUGUGGUUUCAGUACUACUAGGUGUGAGGAGGAGGAGGUUAGCCUUCAUGGCCAGGUGGUACCUCGGAAGGACACCUUUCGGUAUUUGGGGUCAAUGUUGCAGGAGGAUGGGGGUAUUGAUGAAGAUGUGAACCAUCGAAUCAAAGCCGGAUGGAUGAAGUGGCGCCAAGCUUCUGGCAUUCUCUAUGACAAGAGAGUGCCACAAAAGCUAAAAGGCAAGUUCUACAGGACGGCGGUUCGACCUGCAAUGUUGUAUGGCACGGAGUGUUGGCCGACUAAAAGGCGACAUGUUCAAUAGUUAGGUGUGGCGGAUAUGCGUAUGUUGAGAUGGAUGUGUGGCCACACGAGGAAGGAUCGAGUCCGGAAUGAUGAUAUACGAGAUAGAGUUGGGGUAGCACCAAUUGAGGAGAAGCUUGUCCAACAUCGUCUGAGAUGGUUUGGGCAUAUUCACCGCAGGCCUCCAGAAGCUCCAGUGCAUAGCGAACGACUAAAGCGUGCGGAGAAUGUCAAGAGAGGGCAGGGUCGACCAAAUUUGACAUGGGAGGAGUCCGUUAAGAGAGACCUGAAGGAUUGGAGUAUCGCCAAAGAGCUAGCUAUGGACAGGGGUGCGUGGAAGCUUGCUAUCCAUGUGCCAGAGCCAUGAGUUGGUUGCGAGAUCUUAUGGGUUUCACCUCUAGCCUACCCCAACUUGUUUGGGACUAAAGGCUUUGUUGUUGUUGUUGUUGUUGUUGUUGUUGUUUUUUGUAUGGAGUCUCAUCCCAACUUGUGGGGGAAUCACAGUCACCAUCAUUCUUUCCUCACUGGGGCAAUGCUCUAAUAAUGAUGAUCAUCACACUUUUAUUUACUUACAACACGAUACAACUAAUAGAUGAUGACUCUAUAUGAAUGCCUUUGACAGUGUACCAGGAUGUGCAAUGAUCUAGCAUAGCAAAGAUAUCAAAAAUGGACAAGCCAUGAAAAUAUCAUGCUAAGCAAUAUGACAAUGAAUGCUCGAGUCAUGUGUAUGAUGAUGAUGGAAGUUGCAUGGCAAUAUAGCUCAGAAUGGCUACGGAAAUGCCAUGAUAGGUAGGUAUGGUGGCUAUUUUGGGGAAGAUAUAGGGAGGGUUUAUGCACCGGUAAAAGUUGUGUGCUACUAGAGAGGCUAGCAAUGGUGGAAGGGUGAGAAUGCGUAUAAUCCAUGGACUCAACAUUAGUCAUAAAGAACUCAUAUACUUAUUGUGAAAGUUUUAUUAGCCCUCGAAGCAAAGUACUACUCGCAUGCCCCGAGGAGGGAGGUUGGUAGGAGUUAACCAUCGCGCACCCCCGAUUCAAACAGCAGAGAAGGAUUUCAAUCAAGGAUAAAUUAUGCUACGACCUCACUGCUAAUGUCAGAGGCCACCACUUUACAUGUGUGAGGAUUUACUUGCGUAAAGACUUACUUCCCUUAACACCAUUAUUAAUACUCAACUUUAAUUCUUUUACUAGCAUGCCCCCAUAUUACCACCUCAAUAUCGCAAAACUAUUGCAAGGAAUCAAACAUAUCAUACUCAGUGAUCUACACGUUUUAUGUAGGAUUUUAUGACUAACCAUGUGGAUGACUAAUUCCUGUUAACUCUCGAAAUAGAUAUAAGUGAAGCAAGAGAGUUUAAUUCUUUAUAUAAAAGAUCACUCUCUAAUAAAUAUAAGUGAAGCAAAAGAGCAUUCUACAAAUAACGGUUUUCUAUGUGUAGAGAAACGGGCAUCCAAACUUCAAAUGGUAUAAGUGAAGCACAUGAAGCAUUGUAUAAAGCCAUACCCAAGUGAUAUAAGUGAAGUGCAAAGAGAAUUUUAUAAAUCAACCAAGGACUAUCUCAUACCAUCAUGCUGCAUACAAGAAAAGCAAAAAAUAAACACAAAAGACGCUCCAAGAAUUUACGCAUAUCGUGUGAACAAAACAAAAACUGAAACAUACCGAUAAUUGUUGAAGAAGGAUGGGAUGCCUUCCAGGGCAUUCCCAAGUUUAGACGCUUGAUUCUCCUUGAAUAUUUACUUGGGAUGCCUUGGGUAUCCCCAAGCCUGAACUCUUUCCUCUCCUUAUUCUCCUCAUAUCGAUACCUCCUCGAUCUUCGAACACUUCAUCCACACAAAACUUAGCCGAACUUUUUUAUUAGCGGGGUUAGUACAUAUAACAUCAAAUCCCAUCAUGUACUACUGUAACAUUAUUGUAUAAUUAUAAUCAAUCAUUACCCACUGUAUGCUAUCAAUAUUCUAUGGCCCCAAGUCAAAGGGGGCUCAACAAGAUUUCAAACAUACGCAAAUAAUGAAACUAUAACAACAAUCUGUGAAAAUAGGACAAUCUGUAAAGAUGCAGGUGGUACAUAUACUUCUGUAACUCAAAAAAUUCGGAAGAAUUAGGACAAAAUAAACAAUUUUCAUAUCAGUACUGUGUAAAAAAUUCAGUAUUUUUGCACAUUCCAGUAAACACAUGUAAAUUCCCGCACUACAACAAAAGUUUCUGUCUUUGCACCACACAUACCAAACAAGCAAUCUAAUCAUCCUAAAGGCAAAUCUUGGCACAUUAUUUUUAUAAUACAAUGGAUUUGUACAAGGGGAUAAUUAUUUUGUUGAUAAGUUUAUGUAAUUCAAGGUUUGCAAUGUUUCCAUGGGCAUGAAUAAAGUUCAAGGAGCUCCCCCACUUCAACGGUGCUUGUCUUUCUUACUUUCACUUUCUUUUUUGAAAACUUUGAGGUUCCCCUCUAUAUUAUUUUUGUUUUUAAAUAUUUUUAAAAGCACACAACAGAAUAAAAUGACUCUCGAAGACUUCCAGGUUGUCUCCCUGGCAGCGCUUUCUUUAAAGCCAUUAAGCUAGGCAUUAAGUGCUUAAGUAAUUGAUCCACCUGGAUCCCAAGGUAUAACAAAGCCAAUUUUAAUUAACAAUGAUUUGUAUUUUUGAGCACAAAGCAACAUAUAUCAUGCAAAAACAAACUCUAACUCUCUUCUAUGCAUCGUCAUGUCAUAAAAGAACAAUUCAUUCACACAUAGUAAAGGCCAUUACAUAGCAUAAAUGGUUUCUUGCAAUUUCAUCGUAUUGGAAACAUAGAGAGGUGGAGAUGUGAUUUCUCUCUAAUAAUAAUUGUAAUUAGGAGCAACAAGCACAUGCAUAUUAUAUUUAUCAAAAUCAUCAUGUGUAGUAGUAAAACGCAACCCAUCAACAUAAUCCUUAAUAAGCGCAAACUUCUCCAAUAUAGUGUAGUUGGGAGAACUCAAAAAGAUAAUAGGACCAUCAUGUGUGGGUGCAAUAGCAAUAAUUUCAUUAUUAACACACAGAACUAUAGAAAGUUCAUCUCCAUAAGCAUAAUUCAUAUUGGCAUCAUGGCCACAUGCAUAACAAGCAUCAAUUUCAUCAAAAAGGGAUAUUUCAAAUGAAUCCAAGGGAUCAUAGCAAUCAUCGUAGAAUUCAUCCUUCGGUAAGCACGAAGGAAAAUUAAACAAUGUAUGAGUUGAAGAGUUACUCCCAUUAGAAGGUGGGCACGGGUAGCCAGUCCGCUCUUCCUCCUUUUGUUCUUUGCUUUCCUCCUCAUCUUUUUCAUCUAAUGAGCUCACAGUGUCAUUAAUUUCUUCUUCCAUAGUUUCCUUCAAAAUAUUAGUCUCUUCUUGGACAAUGGAGACUUUCUCAAUAAAUUCAUCAAUAUCGGCAUUGUAUUUAUAAUUCUCAUAGCAAUAUUUAAGUAUAGCGAAAGUUCGGGUCUGUAAACAGCAUCAUCACAAUCUUCAUAUUUUUUUAAACAAAGAUUCAAUUUCAUAUGCACCCUUAAAAGCAACAACAAAUUCUUCUAUUCGUUCCACAUCAUAGUAAUCAUAUAUACCAUUAGGAUAAGAAGCCAAGGUUUCCUUAUCAUUGAAUUCACAUGAAAAUGGAAGGUGUCGAGCCUUCAUCCUAGAGCAACAAGUAUAAUCAUAUCUCAAGCAUAAAUCCCAAGCAUACCAUUGCAAACAGUCAAUUUGAUCCCAUAAGAGUUUCCCUUUUUGAGUCAAGCUGUAAUCCCUAAAGUAUUCACGUUGCUCCAGCAUGUCUCCCCUAAUCAAGUUGAAUGGGAUUUUCUCAGGAUUAUCGAAGUAGUGUUUAAUAUUUUUCACAUAACAAGCAUUGAGGGUUUAGGAGGUUCCCAUCUCCAAGAGUUGUAAGUACAAUUUUUUUUGUAUUUCAUGUUCCAUAUCCAUAACUAAAGAUAUAAAACAACUUAGAACAGAAAAUAAAAUCUACUUAGUGAUAAAGCAAACAAGCAGACACGAGAAUAUUCACCCCACGCUAUUGCUCCCCGGCAACGGCGCCAAAAAAAGAUCUUGAUAACCCACAAGUAUAGGGGAUCAACUAUAUCCUUUUUCGAUAACUAAGAGUUUCAAACUGAACGAGAAGCUAAAGGUAGAAUUAUUCUCUCAAGUUCUAUCGACCACCGAUACAACUCUACACGCACUUGACGUUCGCUUUACCUAGAACAAGUACAAAACUAUUUUGUAGAUGAUAGGACAGGUUUGCAAGAAUAAAACUAGUUGUACCUAGCAAGAAUAAAACUAUGAGUAAUUCGCAAGAUAAUAAAGUUAGUUUUUUAGUAGAGAGCUUUUUGUAACACAAGAAAUUUAUUUGUCCCUAGGCAAUCGAUAACUAGACCAGUAAUCAUUAUUGCAAUUUUAUAUGAGGGAGAGGCAUGAGCUAACAUACUUUCUCUACUUGGAUCAUAUGCACUUAUGACUGGAACUCUAGCAAGCAUCCGCAACUACUAAAGAUCAUUAAGGUAAAACCCAACCAUAGCAUUAAGUAUCAAGUCUUCUUUACAGCCAUACGGAACAACCCCCUUACUCAGGUGUAAGCUUAUGUCACUCUAGCCACCCAUCGUAAGAGAAUCAUGAACUUAUUACAACACCCUACAAUGGGGAUCCCUCACGCUUGCACGACACGAAGAGCACCGUAGGACAGCACCAAUAAUAAAACAUACAACUCAAACCAAUCAUGAUCGUUAAUCAACCCAUAGGAAAAUGAAUCUACUCAAACAUCAUAGGAUAUCCACAUAUCAUUGGAUAAUGAUAUAUAGUGUUGAGCACCAUGUUUAAGUAGAGAUUAUAGCGGGGAGAAGAGGUGUUACACCACUGCAUAGAGGGGAACACUACUAGGGAAAAGCAUAUACACAGAAUCUUAUCAGCAGCGCACUUUAAAAUAAGGCACUGCUGCUAAUUAGCAGUAGCAUGCUCAAGAGUAACUCGCUGCUGAAACAAAUAUAGCAGUAGCGCGCCCACUCAAAGACGCGCUACUGCUAUAAUUCCCAUGAGGCUGCCGCAAGGCUAGUUAUAGUAGCAACGUGUUAUAAUGAUGGGCGCUACUGCUACGUAGCAUAGUAGCAGCGCAUUUAGCCAAUAAGCGCUACUGCUAAGUUUACUACAAAAAUUUAGUCCCACCUCGCUCCAUGAAGAGAGUUUCUACCACCUUAAAUAUGUUACUUCUCAAACUUUGACAAGCACUUGGUCUUCAUUGAACUCUAUGUGUAGAAUUUGUGGUUGCAAUAUGAGUCUUCACCUGUUCCUAAACCGGUAAGGACUCAUAUUGACAAAUCAGAUUGUACACAAAAAGAUCGUUGAUGAUCAAUGUAUUUUUGAUAUAUUGAACAAAGUCUAUUUUUACAUGCUGGCACAUAGCAAUAGCGCUUCUUUGUGAAAGGCGCUGCUGCUAGGUAGCUUAGCAGUAGCGUCUUUCUCUAUAGCGCGCUACUGCUAAGCCAUUCCAUCUCCCACCCCCCAUCUCCUCUAUACGAUCCACUCAUAGUCACACACUCACUAGAUCCCCUCUCAAUCCCCCACGUCGGUCCACCCCUGUCGCCCCUCCUCCCUCUGCGCCGCCGUCACCUCCUCCUCCUUGCUGGACUCGGUACCGGCCUCCUCCUCCAUCCUCCCUCUCCACUCGCCGCUGGCCGGCCCCUCCUCACUCCGCCUUCCUCCUCCUUCCUCCCUCCACUGGCCGCCGGCUGGCCCCUCCUCGCUCUGCCUUCCUCCUCCGUCCUACUCUCUUCUCCCUCCUCGAGUCGCCCCUCCUCAUCCCUCCUGCCUGCUACAUUUUGAUUUAGUAGGCUAGUUCAUAUGCAACAUUUUGAUUUAGUUGAUAUGAUUUAGUUGAUUUAGUAGGCUAGUUGAUUUAGUUGAUUUAGAACAUUUUGAUUGAGUUGAUUUAGUAGGCUAGUUCAUUUAGUUGAUUUAGAACAUUUUGAUUUAGUUGAUUUAGUAGGCUAGUUGAUUUAGUUGAUUUAGAACAUUUUGAUAGUUGAUUUAGUAGGCUAGUUCAUUUAGUUGAUUUAGAACAUUUUGAUUUAGUUGAUUUAGUAGGCUAGUUCAUUUAGUUGAUUUAGUAUGCACCAUUUUAUUGUUAUUUUUUCUAUACAUGGAUAGGUACGUAGUUGCUUUUGUUUUUUUAAUAAGAUACUUUUUGGCAAAAUGUAGGUGGUACCUUGUCAUCUAAUAUGUUACUAGAUCUUAGGAUUAUAACUGUCCAUCAAAUUGCUUCUCGCGGAAGAACCAAAAAUGUCACAUGCUACUGUUUUUCUUUCCUAUGAAGUGGAUCGUUAAUCCUUUGCUCAUAUUGCUUUAGGAAAAAUGGCGCCACCACCACCACCACUAUGCCGAGUAUGCAAGUCAAGAUGCGCCAGCAGCCUUGCAACUGGCAAGCUGUUCGGCAUCUACUUCCAGCCGAGUUUUCGUCAUGCGGCGGUAAGAAAUUAGAUGAAAUGUAAUAACUAUUUUAUUUUUAGUGUUGGCAUUACUACAUUGUGUCAUUUUGCUUAUUUUACAUAGAUCGUCCCAUGCAAUGUGAGGUUGAAAUUCAACAAGCUGAUAGGAGACACUGUGACAUUUGAGGCUCCUAGGGGGCCGUACACUAUGGAGGUCGAGAAAGGACGCAAUAUGUCGCAGAUUGGAGGAGAUGGAUGGGCAUGUUUCUUCGCUCGCAUGCGUCUUACUGGUGGUGAGUUGAUCGGCUUCUCCUUCCGAGCAGAAAGACCCAAGCUGGCUGUCAUUUAUCUCAACCUGGUGGAAGAUGAUGAAGAUGACGAAAAUGAUGAAGAUGAUGAAGAUAAUGAGGACCCACUCGAUGAAGAUGAUGAGGACCCACUUCAUGAAGCCAUCGUAGCUCAAAGAACAAGGCUGAGCGAGGAGGAGGUGUCCAACCUGUGGGACAUAAUUCCGCCAUGUGCUUACUUUGUCGGGGUGCCAUUCGUGACCCGCCUGACAAAUACCAUGGUUGAUCGACAUGAUAUGGUAUGUUAUACUUACAAAUGCAAAUUAUCCGAUGAAAUACUUAGUGUACAGUCCAAUGAUAUGGUAUGUUGUGUGGAAUCUAGUCGAUGAUAUGUUUUAGUGUAGAGUUUGAUCACAUGCUUAUUAGUGUAGAAUCUAAGGAAACUAUUAAUAGUGUAGAUAAUCCAUAUGUACUUAUUUGCGAGGCUAUUUAUUAAUUGAUAUGUUUUUCUUAUUCAGAAAUUGGCAAAGAGCAUAUCUGUGAGUUAUGGUAUUGAGCAUGAUGAAGAAGGCUCAGCUGGACUACGACUUACUGCAAGGGGCUCCGUCACAACCUGUACUUACCGCGUGGACACGGACGGUCACACACACUUAAACUUGGUUGGGUGGAAGAAAUUCCUCGAUGGCAAGAAUCUUCGUGUUGGACAGGCCAUCCUAAUUACUAUCAGGAACACCAACCGCCCAGGCUUGAGGAUGAUGAUUGUCUUCGAUAUCAUCUAGAACUACAUAUGUGUGUGUGGCUAUAUCAUCUAGAAUUACAUAUGUGUGUGUGGCUAUAUCAUCUAGAACUACAUAUGAUGAUCGUCGUCGAUAUGAUCUAGAACUACAUAUGAUGAUCGCCGUUGAUAUGACCUUGUACUGCUUGAGGAUGCAUGUUGACUAUGCAUGAAAUUGUUAUCUAGUACUCCCUUCGUUCCAAAUUACUCGUCGUGGUUUGAACUAAAACCACGACGAGUAAUUUGGAACGAAGGGAGUACUACCCAGUAAUGGUUUAUGAAUUUGAUAUCUACUAGCAGUACCUAGUAUCUAGUAUCUAAAAGGAAAACUGAAAGGGAAAAGGGUACGGGGGGGAAAUGAUGAAAGAUAUAGCAGUAGCGAGGGACUGCGAAAUCGCUACAGCUAGGUAAUAGUAGCGCGUUCAUAAAAAGCGCUGCUGAUAUCGUCAACAGUAGUAGCACGGGUAAGGGCCGCGCUACUACUAUAAGUUAGCUGUAGCACCUUAUUAGUAGCGCGGCCACCCGCGCUGCUGCUAGCCUCAAAACCCGCGCUACUACUAUGGUUUUCCCUAGUAAUGGAAUAGAGUUGGUGUUGACAUUAGCAAGGUUGUUGGUGUAGAUCGUCGUCACGACCCUUGCCCCGGCGGCACUCCGGCGCCACCGGGAGAGAGGGGGAGAGAGCCCCCUUCUUCUUCUUCUUAUUCCUUGACCUCCCUCCUAGAUGGAAGGAGGGUUUCCCCUCUGGUCCAUGGCAGAUGGCGAAGGGGCGGGAGCCCCUUCGAGAUUGGAUCUAUCUCUUUGUUUCUCUUCUGUUUCGCGUUCCUGUUUUCUAGCCUUUCACCAUUUCUUAAAUAUCCGGAUAUCCGUAACUCCGACUGGGCUAAAAAUUUAACAUGGUUUUUAUCUGGAUAUAAGCUUUCUUGCGGCCGAAGGACACCUCCAGCCGACCUACGGGGUGGACACAAGCUUGCCAGGCGCACCCUGAGUAGGGGGGCACACACCUUGAGCUUGUGGGCCCCUCGGGCAUCGUCUCGCGUUGAUUCUGCUUCCCAAAAUCACACAUAUUCCAAAAUAAUUCCCCGUAAUUUUUAUCGCAUUUGGACUUCGUUUGAUAUGGAUAUUCUGCAAAACAAAAAACAUGCAACAAACAGGAACUGACACUGGGCACCAGAUCAAUAUGUUAGUCCUAAAAAUAAUACAAAAUGUUACCAAAAAUAUAUGUAAGUUGUAGAAUAUUGACAUGGAACAAUAAAAAUUUAUAGAUACGACGAAGACAUAUCAGUGUUCAUGAUCAUUUUGCUUGAAGUCCGUAAUAUGGUUUCUCAUUUGAAUUAUCUUAGCAGCAGUCUAGUAUUUGGAAAAUGCAAGUUUCCUUACAUUUCUUCCAAGAAGAAAUCAGGGAGUACAUGAAUCAAUGUAUAAGAUAAACAAGAAAUGAUGUCAUGAGAUCGAGAGAAAAACGCGAUGGGACGUGUCUGAUAUUCCUUUUCUUCUUACACCCAAUGUUAAUCUAAUAACUAUUAUUAUCAAUUAUUUUUUUGUUAAUGUAGCCAAUAAAAUAGUUGACACUUCAUAUUUGUGAAACCUACAAGAGGCAUCUUUUUCUGUCUGGUUAAUGAGGCAUAUCCAUUUCUUGUGAACAAUUAGCAUAUCAUAAAUUUUGGAUCGACGACAUGUAAUACCCUCAUCUUAUCACCAAUGUUGAAAGGUCAUGCAUAUCUCAUGGUUCAUAUACAACACAUAGUUGGUCCCACAAAUAAUACAUAAUAAAUAUUAAUUUCCUGAUAAGCAAUGGAUGAACCUUUUCCUUGAGUGCGACAAACCUCCAUACCUCUUAAUUCCGAUCCAAUGGAUAUUGGUACCAACCUCAAACCCACUUUGUAUAUCUUGUGACUAACAGAAAACACCUAUUGCAUAUCGACAAUAAACACAUCAUAAAGCGUCGACUAUCCGAUAAGCAAUGCACGACAAACCUCCCCACCUCUUACUUCCAAUCCAAUGGAUCUUGGCGCCACUCUCGAACCCGCCUCUUCUACCUCGUGAUUAAUACAACAUGCAUAUCACGAGCUUUGCUACACCCAGGUACACAUUAUUACGUAAUUUACGAAGAGGAUGACCUGGCCUGUUUUGGUUGAAAGUUAAGAAGGCCCAGGCCCACCCCGUGAAAAUCAGGGGGGGCGAUGAUUGGUUGAGGCAGGCCAGAACGUAACUUUACGUACUACAAUUACGUAGGUCUAGCAUUUUUGUGCAUAUCACAUACCAAUAAUGAAUACAUCAUAAAGUCUCGACUGUCCGAUAAGCAGUGUACGAUCCUUUCUUGCGGGUGCGACAAACGUUCAUCCUUUUACAUCCGGUGCAACAGAUCUUGGCAUUAGUCUUGAACCGAUAGCAUAUAUCUCAUGAAUAAUGCAAAAGACCCUACUUUUUCAGGGAUUCGCCGCCCACCCAUCUUUCAUACUCCCUCCGUCCGGAAAUACUUGUCGUACCAAUGAAUAAAAUUGGAUGUAUCUAGAAUUAAAAUACGUCUAGAUACAUCUAUUUCCCCGACAAGUAUUUCCGGACGGAGGGAGUACUUCCGAUUCAACGGAUUUUGUUUCAGCGGUCUCAAACCCUGAAUGUAUAUCUCAUGACUAAUGUAGGACGUGUAUUUCUUAUAAACAAUUACUAAUUAUCUUCAUCAUCUGCUAAACAAAACAUCCCCUUUCCGGCGGGGGCGACAGAAACGGUUCUUACCUUUGAUCCGAUGGUGUGUACGCACGCACGUCAGAUGAACCUACGGCGUGGAUCCAACCAAAGUGGCAUCCAACGGCGAGCAGUUCAAGGAAAUUGCGCUUGCGGCUGCAGCAAGCAGCACGACGUCGUCGUGAGAGCGAGCGUUCUCAACACACCACAAAUUUCUCUCUCCGUCCUUGUGCUGCUCUCUCGUCUUUAAAGGCCGACGCCCCCUCCCUCUGUUUUCCUGCUUACCCGUCUCCAUCUCCGCCUCCACCCCUCUCCUCGCCUCGACUGCGAGCGAACAAACCACCCUCCCAAAAGCCUCACGCGCCGUCCUCCUCCCCGCAACCCGGCGCAUGCCCUCCUCCGCUGCUCGUCCAACCCGCCCGCGCCGUGGCCUCUGAAUCACGCCGCCAUCUCCACCCAGAUUCUUUCACCCCGGUCGUCGUUCCGUGUCACCGUCUUCUGUUUCCCGUUUUCCCAGCCAAGAGAAUCGUCGGCCCCUGCCGCCGGAAGCUUCGUCCAGUAGGGGCGGCGGCGGCGGCUCUCCUGCAUGGGACGCAAGGUUCGUUGCUUGCCUCGGCUCUUUUCCUCCCAUGUUAGUACAUUCGUUCUUUGCUUGCCCGGCCGGCUGGUGGCUGGCGUUUCGGUGAUGCGCGUCGCGCUCCCCGGCCGUGCCUUGCGCUUACGGUAGCCGUCUUCCUGGUUCCCCCGUGCUGGUUGCGUCCAUGAUCACGUCAUCUCUAGAUUUCGGGACGGUGUUUGCGUCUCUGCGCCCGCGUGCGAGCGUGUUCGGCUCGGCGAGGGCAUGGGGUUUGGUUCGUACGGCCGCCGUGCCUGCCUUGGCUGCUCCAGCCUCCAGGUUUGGGUUGUCCGUGACUUGCUCCGACCCCGUCGUCCUACCUGAUGGGAUUGGGUGGGUCAGGGUGGUGCCUGAGAUUUGCAGGACGCGAUUCAUGGGUUUGGUUUGGGCUCUAGGAAAUGACUCGAUUUGCUAUGUUUGACUCUCCAGAUUUGUAGGCUUGCUCCUAGGUGCAGUGCUUGUGAAUUCGGUAGCCUAUUAUCGUCAGGCUGAUGUGAUACAUACGUCCUAGUUAUGGUGCAGUGUUUAAUUCGGACAAAUGAUUAUCUGGGAGAUCCGAUGUGUCAUGACAGAGUUUUACUUGUUUUACAAAGCAUUGUGAUUCACAACUGUGAACACGAUAAAUCUUAAACAUCACCAGCAUUGCCUGUCUGAUAAUGUGCAAAUGCAAUUGGUGCGGCAAGUUGCAGUAACUGCUGGGUGAUGUCAGUUCUGAUGUGAUGUCAAUUGGUCUGGCUAUAUGCUGCUCAAAACAUAUAAGCCACUUCAAAAAAGCUCCUUUUUUUAAUCAAUCUUAUCUGAGAGAGAUGCCGCGAAGGUUACUCCAGGGCUGUACAAUGCAGUUCAUCCUAGUUGCAGUAUUUAUUUCUGCUUCAGUUGCUUGCUGUAGUAAGCAAUGAAUUAGUAAUGCCGUGUACUUUACUGUUGCAUAUAGCACAUUUCAGAUGCUAGAGAUAUCAUGCAUGUAUGCAUGUGAGCUCUGAAAGGGAUGAAAAUUUUCAUGUGUUCACUUCACUUAUUCAUACAGAGCGCCAUUUUGUUUCAUGCUCCUAAAUGCACAACCAAUGCAAAGUGGCUCUGAUCAACGCUUGCCUAUCCUCCCUGCCUAUAUUUCUUAUGGGAUUCUACUCUCUCUCGGCUGGUACCCACGCCAGCUUCGACAAACAGAGAGGGGCUUUUUAUUGGAAUUCGGCUGACAAUAAGCGCAAAUAUAGAUUCGUCAGAUGGAAGCUUAUGUGCAGGCCCAAAAGCCUUGGGGGGCUGGGCAUUAUCAACACCGCUAUCAUGAAUAAAUGCCUUUUAAUUAAGUGGUGGUGGAAGAUCAUGACUUCUGGGGCUGGGACUCUUUGGUUUUCCAUCCUCAAAGCUAAGUAUUUCCCUCUUACCAGUCCGCUGUUUGCUCCGGCCCGCGGCGGCUCUCAAUUUUGGAAUGGUUUGCUUAAAGUUAGACCUCUGUUUCUGGAAAAUGUUAAGUUUGUUGUCGGGGAUGGUUCUUCAGUUCGUUUCUGGCUUGACUGGUGGUGUGGUGACUCGCCGCUCUCCGUGAGUUUUCCCACCCUUUUCUCUUAUUGCCCUGUCCCGGAUAUCUCCAUUGCUGAGCUUUCGGCUAACAAUUGGGACCUUGCUUUCCGGCGUUCCCUUUCUCCUGAAGAGUUCGAAGACUGGCAAAGGCUCACUGCUCUCUUCCCUACGCUCUCAGAGACUCUGGACUCGGUGGUGUGGCCCCACACUUCUUCAGGUCGCUUUUCGGUCAAGUCUCUCUAUUCCAGGCUUGUCGGUGGAUCUCCCACCAACAGGUUCUCUCAGGUCUGGCGGGCCCGUGUUCCCCUGAAAAUCAAAAUCUUCCUCUGGCAAGCUUUCAGAGGUCGCCUGCCUGCGGCAGACCAGAUUCGUAAGCGGAAUGGACCGGGAUCGGAGUUUUGUGCCCUUUGUGGCGCGCUGGAGGACACGAAUCAUAUUUUCUUUCAUUGUGUUUUGGCCAAGCUGGUCUGGAGUUGUGUGAGAUCUUGGCUCCAUGUCUCAUGGGACCCUUCUUCUUUUGUUGAUCUCCAGACCCUGGCUAAGUCUCUCAGUGGUGUCACCAAAAGAGUAUUCUGGGUUGGGCUUGGAGCCAUCUAUUGGUCUUUGUGGACGAUUAGGAAUAAGUUUACCAUUGAACAUGUUUUUCCUACUAAACCUGCUGACUGCUUGUAUAAAUCGUGUAUCUUCUUGCAGCAGUGGAGAUCAUUGACUAGGGCGGAGGACCAUGAUGCUUUUGAUCUCCUGGUUUCCAAAGUGCGGGCCUCUGCGUCUUCCUUAUCCAGACAGGAGCAGGUUGCUUAGAUGGUGUUUUGCGUUCCCUCUCUUUCCGGCCUGCGUGCCGUUUGUUUCCAUGGAUGCCAUGUAUCUCCUUAAUACUUUGGGGCCACUUUGUGUUUGCUUGUUCUUGAUGGGUUGGUUGUUACAGUUGCUUGACUCUGCCUUGUGGCUUUAUUUAUAAAGUUGGGCGUAUGCCUUCUCUCUAAAAAAAAUGCACAACCAACUUAGUUAUUUAUACUGACGAUGAAUACUUCUUAUUGUAUCAAUUUAUUUAUACUGUAUCAAUUUGAUGAUCCUUGACAACUGACCUUUUUUUUCUUCUAUAUUGGCAGAUGGGAACACUUCAGUUAGAAGACAUUGGUGAUCACCAUUUAUCUGUAGAAGUUUCUCAAGCUUCGGAUGAUGACUCACCAGUAUCCCCAUGCAUAGGAAGUGCGCACCAGGCAGAAAUCCCCAACCUAGCCACAGACGAUGAACGACGUCAUCUCAUGGCCAGCUCACUCCACAGUUGCAAGUUACAUGUGUAUGAUUAUCCUAGUGUUUCUAUACCAGUUGUAUGGGGAAGCCAUCCACCAAGUCAAGUUAACAAGAAGGAAGAUAUUACAAGUGAACUUAACUGGACAUAUCUGGAUCCUCAUGCUGUGCUACCAGUAGAUCAAAUUGACUCUGCAAAUAAUCAAGUUUGUGAUGAAACACCGGUUCAGUGUUUCACCCGAGAAAGCCGUGACCUCUUCACUGACAAGACAAUGGUGCAUCAAAGAGAAACAAAAAAAAAUGCUUCACUGCAUGGCUUAUCUGCCUCCGUUUGGACUGGUCUAGAGGAAGAAUGCUUUCUUCUUGGGCUGCACAUUUUUGGUAAAAAUCUCAGCCUGGUGAGCAAGUUCAUAGGGAGCAAGACUGUUGGGGAGGUGCUCUGCUACUACUAUGGGAGGUUCUAUAAUGGAACUGCAUAUAAAAGAUGGUCGCACCUUAGAAGGACAAGAACUACUAGAUGCAUUCUCGGGAGAAGCAUUUUUACUGGUCGGCGACAACAGGAGCUUAUAUCUCGUUUGAAAUUGAAAAUAUCCAAGGAGGCUCAUGCUUCGUUAGUUGAGGUAUGCAUUUUGAUACAAUACGGAUUUUAAUCUCUUUCACAAGGGAUACUGAAAUGGUGCAAAAUGAAUCCCUUCGUGUUAUUAUAAGAUUCUACUAGUGUUGCUAUGAAUUUGGUGAUUGAGAUAUUGAGGCAAAUAUGUUGCCUGCUGUAAUAGCACAAGAGAACAGCCAAAUUUCAGCUUGAUGCUUCACUAAUUUAUUAGCAUGAUUCGCUGAUCAUGAUUGUGCAGUCAUCUUUUUUCGCAAACCAAGUGUUGCCAAUUAACCGAUGAUCGCAUAUUGUUUCAUACAUCACGGCUAUAUGAGCUGAAUUACUUUUGCAUAUUUCAGGUUUUAAGGUCUUUGGGCUCUGACCUAACAUCUUUAGAGGAAUGUGUCUUCACUCUGAAAUCCACCAUUGGAGCAGAAACUUUUGUUGAGGUCGUUGGGAUUGGUAAAGGGAAGCAUGAUUUGACUGGAUUUGUUCAGGACACAUCCAAAACAAACAAAGGUCUAUCUGUUUCCGCCAACACACCUAAAGGCAUAAAUUGUUCCAGGCUUGCUAGAGAAGAGAUAGUCAACACCUUAACAGGUGAUUCCAGGAGAAGUAAGGUGAAAUUAAAUGAUCUGUUUUGGGAAGCUGUUUGGCCCCGUUUGCUUGCAAGAGGAUGGCACUCAGAGCAGCCAAAAGACGUCCGCACAACCAAGAAUUGCCUUGUAUAUUUGGUGCCUGCUAUCAAAAAAUUCUCAAGAAGGAAGCUCACUAAAGGCACUCACUAUUUCGAUUCUAUCACUGACGUCCUUAAAAAAGUGGCAGCAGACCCGACUCUUCUUCAGCUAGAGACAGAUGGAAUAGAUAAUGGUGCACCUGUUGAUAUAAAUGGCCGGGCAACAGGCCAAGAUGGUCCUUUGGAUAGUGAUCUGGAGCUUCCAAUGUUCACUAUAAUUGAUACUAGCUUGGUCCAAGGGGAAGCGCCCUUCAAAGUGAGGGCUCUGAGAAGCUUACCUGCUGAUGCAAAUAUUAGCUUUGGAUCUACAGAUGAUUCAGAUAAUAUGUCAAGUGACAGUUCCUCUCAGGAGCAACAUAAUGAUGGUAACUUGUCAGAUGACCAGGAAUGUCAUGGACAAGUGACAGCUCCUGUUAAUGACGUUGAAAUGGGAUCAGUUUACAGUACAACCAAAGAAUCGCUGGUGGAUUUGUUGGAAGCCAUGGGGACUGCACCACAAUCUGUCUUUCCAGUUAAUGGCCAUUCUUCCGAUGAUCGGCACUCAGGCAUUUCUAGUGGUAAUGGUGACAAAGCAGACUUGACAUGCUGCUCUGUCCUUGGAAGGAAAACUGGGAGACUAGUGUAUUUAUCUCCAAAGCGCAGAAGAUUUGCUAGGUACAGUAAUGACCAGACCAGCCAACACAGCUUUUAUUUACCAGAUGAUGCUGAUUUCGAGAAAAAGAAACUGAAGCCUUUAUCCACUACAUCAAAGCCAACUGUUAUUGAUCUUGGUGGUAGUUUCCAAACCAGAACACUGGCAAACUGUUCCAUGAAGGGGAAGCCAUGUGAACAGAUAACAGAGGUUGCGAAGCCUAGUACCAACGGCAGAUCGCUUGAGAAGCGGAAUGUGGUGAAUACAAAUGAGGACAAGUCAUCAGAAGGAAAGUUUGAUGCAGUAGCCAGGACUAGCAUGGGAGGGACUUUGCCAGACAAUCAUGAUUUUUUGCAGAAAAAUGAAGAUCUAACUGUGGUGAAUACAAAUGAGGACAAUUCACCUUCCAUUUCGAAUAACGAGAUAGUUCCUGAUGUUUUGGAUGCUGCCGGAAAACAUGAUAUAACUGUUGAGACGAGCUCUCGGAGGCAGGGAACCAGAAAUCGGCCUCCCACCGUAAGAGCUCUGGAAGCAGUUGCUCUUGGUCUCCUCGGAGGCACAAAGCGCAAGGGGGACGCAAGAAGCUUGGCGGCAAGAAGGCCUCCUCAGCGGGCUCGCAAGAACGAAGAUUGAAUGUGGGCAUCUCUACUAGUAGUAGAGAGAAACCCAUAUAUUUGGAGGCUGAAGCGCAGGAUGAGCAGAUUGUCUUGCGUGGCUCGGAUAUGUGUAAUAAAGUGUGAAAAAGAAAAUAGCAGGGUUUUCUUUUUUUUUUUGCAGGGAAAAAAGAAAAAAAAGCAGGGUUUUCAGGUGGUGGAUUUCACAAUCGACAUGAGCCAUCCGAAGCUGUCCUCGAUCCAUUUCUUGUGGAGGAGCUCACUGUUCCCUCAUCAUGUUCACAAUGCAGGCAUUGGUGAUUGGUGACACCUUGCUCUCCCUUUCUUUCUAGAAUCUCGGAUGCGUGAGAAAGAAUUUUACAAUUUAUAUAUUAUUAUUUCUGUUUAGUUUAUAGAAGGGUUUCAUGUCCAGCAAGCUGUGCAAACCCAAGUUGUAAUAGAGAAGAAAGAUGAACACCAUGUUGUGCUUAAUGAUACCUUUG
rnacentral:lncRNA from 1 species